GGGAGCUUAGCUCAGCUGGUUCAGAGCACCUGCCUUACAAGCAGGGGGUCACUGGUUCGAACCCAGUAGUUCCCACGA
rnacentral:tRNA from 1 species